CCUGGCGGCUGUAGCGCGGUGGUCCCACCUGACCCCAUGCCGAACUCAGAAGUGAAACGCCGUAGCGCCGAUGGUAGUGUGGGGUCUCCCCAUGCGAGAGUAG
rnacentral:rRNA from 2 species